rnacentral:rRNA from 1 species
GAGUUUGAUCGUGGCUCAGAGUGAACGCUGGCGGUAGGCCUAACACAUGCAAGUCGAACGGUAACAGGUCUUUCGGGAUGCUGACGAGUGGCGGACGGGUGAGGAAUACAUCGGAAUCUGCUCAGUCGUGGGGGAUAACGCAUGGAAACGUGCGCUAAUACCGCAUACGACCUUCGGGUGAAAGCAGGGGAAUCUUUAGGGAUCCUUGCGCGAUUGAAUGAGCCGAUGUCGGAUUAGCUAGUUGGUAGGGUAAAAGCCUACCAAGGCGACGAUCCGUAGCUGGUCUGAGAGGAUGAUCAGCCACACUGGGACUGAGACACGGCCCAGACUCCUGCGGGAGGCAGCAGUGGGGAAUAUUGGACAAUGGGGGCAACCCUGAUCCAGCCAUACCGCGUGGGUGAAGAAGGCCUUCUGGGUUGUAAAGCCCUUUUGUUGGGGAAGAAAAACAACGGGUUAAUACCCCGUUGGUAUGACGGUACCCAAAGAAUAAGCACCGGCUAACUUCGUGCCAGCAGCCGCGGUAAUACGAAGGGUGCAAGCGUUACUCGGAAUUACUGGGCGUAAAGGGUGCGUAGGUGGUUGCGCCAGUCUGUCGUGAAAGCCCUGGGCUUAACCUGGGAAUGGCGAUGGAAACUGUGCAACUAGAGUCUGACAGAGGGUGGUGGAAUUCCUGGUGUAGCAGUGAAAUGCGUAGAGAUCAGGAGGAACAUUCGUGGCGAAGGCGGCCACCUGGGUCAACACUGACACUGAGGCACGAAAGCGUGGGGAGCAAACAGGAUUAGAUACCCUGGUAGUCCACGCCCUAAACGAUGCGAACUGGAUGUUGGGUCCAACUUGGGAUUCAGUAUCGAAGCUAACGCGUUAAGUUCGCCGCCUGGGGAGUACGGUCGCAAGACUGAAACUCAAAGGAAUUGACGGGGGCCCGCACAAGCGGUGGAGUAUGUGGUUUAAUUCGAUGCAACGCGCAGAACCUUACCUGGCCUUGACAUGCACGGAACCUUU